rnacentral:lncRNA from 1 species
AAACAAUAAUUUACCUCUCCUAUAUUAAUUUAUUAUUUUACCUCCUAUUUAUAAUUAAGCAAAUGUUAUGUUAAAUUUCAUGUAACAUACACACCUCACAACAACCACACAAAUUAUGUGGGCCAUAAUUGACGUGGUUGUUGUGGAAUUAUAACUAUUACUUUAACCCUCAUUUGUUUUGCAAGUCUCAUAUGUACGGUUGAUAGAUAAAUGUAACUUACAGAUCCACUGUAGCCAACACCUAUUGCCUGCAUUUGCACGGUUUUUCUCUCUCCUCAGGACACGUUUGCUGCUUCCCAUUGGGUGUGUACGUUACAGAUUCUGUAACGUAGAUUGGUCCCGGUUUCCAAUUUAAUGUUACUGAACUUUUUGUCGAGUUGUUUCCUUUGAUUUUGGAAAGGGUUAAUUUUGUCCUGCCCCCAAAUGUUUCAACAUUUUUCACCACGCACUCAUAUGUUUCGAAAAUACUCACUCCACACCCAAUUCCGUUAAUUUGACCGUUAUGUUUAACGGAGCUAUUUGAAAUUUAAGUAAAUGUCCGAAAUACCCCUUAUCUUGAAUUAGAGAAAAAUAAAAUGAGAUAAAAUAUUAAUUUAAUAAUUAAUGUUUACAUUAAAAAAUUUUAUUUAAAGGUAAUUAAUAAUAAUUCCAUCAAUUAAAUUAUCAAAUAAAUUUAAUUUAUCAUCAUCAAAUAAUUUUUAGGAUAUGAAUUUCUAAAUUUGUCCUUUGACCGUUAGGAUAAACGGUCAAAAUAACAGAAUUGGGUGUGGAGUGAGUAUUUUCGAAACAUAUGGGUGUGUGGCGAAAAAUAUUGAAACAUUUGGGGGCAGGACAAAAUUAACCCUUUUGGAAAUAAAUGCAGAAAGUCAAAGGGACACAAGUUGACAACUUGACACGCCUAUAAAUUCCUAUCAAUAAAUUAGGACCUGUCUACCUUACAGAUUCUGUAACAUACGCACCUAAUGCAUACACCUGUCCUGCAUAUGGAGAAAAAAGGGUUAUUUCCACUCAGCCCCCAAAUGUUUUGACAUUUACCACCGCGCACCUAAAUAUUUCGACAAUGCUCACUCCACACCCAAUUCCGUUAAUUUGACCGUUAUGUUUAACGGAACUAUUUGAAAUUUAAGUAAAUAUCCGCAAUACCCCUUAUCUUAAAUUAAAGAAGAAUAAAAUGAGAUAAAAUACUAAUUUAAUAAUUAAUAUUUACAUUAAAAAAUUAUUUAAAGGUAAUUAAUAAUAAUCAUAUCAAUUAAAUUAUCAAAUAAAUUUAAUUUAUCAUCAUCAAAUAAUAUUUAGGGCGUGAACUUUCAAAUUUACCCUUUGACCGUUAGAAUAAACAGUCAAAAUAACAGAUUUGAGUGUGGAGUAAACUUUAUUGAAACAUUUGAGAUGCGGUGGAAAAUAUUGAAACAUUUGGGGACAAGACUGAAUUAACCCGAGAAAAAGCAUGCAAUUGUUUUUGUUUGGUAGCUAGCUAACCAAUCAGGAGCUGGCUAAGUGAGAUCUGUAUGUUACAGAAUACGUAACUUAGCCAGCUCCCAAUAAAUUAAGGGUGCGUUUGGGAUUGAGGUUGGGCAGCUGUAGCUUUUAAGCUAUGUUGAUAUGAUUUUUCACUUGUAUAAUAUAAAAUUUAUUAUAUCUUUAAUAAUUUUAUCAAAAUUAUUAUUUAAAAUUUAUAUUUAUUAUAUAUUAUUAACUUUUGUUUCAUAAUUACAACUUUUUUUUCACAAUAACUGUAACUUAAAAAUUACAGCACCUCAAUCUCAAACGCACCAUGAGAUGGACGGCCAGCUCUAACAGGACCCGGAAAAUUCCAUGAGUCGAAAUUAAUUGUAGAAAGAGACUUGACUAGCUCACAGAAUCUGUACCAUAGACAGGUCCUGUAGAAAGGGUUAGUUUUAGGAUCCAAUAUAUCCCUUGUGGGCCCUAUAUACCUCUCUAUAUACUUCGCGUAUCUUUCUGAACGUUGGCCUACGUUAGUUACAUAAUCUCCCCUAAGAGAAAAAAAUUAAUAAAGAAAUUCUGUUCAAAUUGCUACAAAAGUAUUUCUUGAAAUGGCAUCCCCUGUAGCCUCUACAGGUACGAGACCUGUAGUACAUGCCGAAGAUUAAGAGGUUCAGGUGAAGAUGGACAGCCCAUCGGCUGUAUAUAUUCUGUAAUUCUUUAUACUUGCAGGGCAUUUUUUUACAUAAAUCUUUGUUUUCAGGGUAAUCAGACGGUCAUUGCAAGUUUAAUUUAUUUACUCAGUUUGAGCGUUUUCAAUUUACUUGUUCUUUAUCUUUGCAUUACAAGUUCAAUUUAUUUAGUCUGUGACAUGCUGAGAAUUCAUCAAUGUUUCAGGUACUACUCGCGCCUUGGCCUGGGCAAGUCAAGCGGAGGUCCUUUGAAAUUAAAUAAUGAUAUCGCUCUAGAAAUUUGUGAUUCUGCAAAACUUCCCAAGGCAUCCGUAAAUUACCGCCAAUACAUAACUCUACUUAGCCCCAAAUUUGGGGACAUUAGCCCACUAGGUACCAUCGCUGUGCUCCGAAACCUUCUCCGCCGAAUCGUUCGCGUACAACAAUACAACGAUAUUAUUUGUAUUCGUUGAAUUUCUUUAAAAUGCGCAUAAAAAAUUCAUAGAAUUACGUAUUUAAUUCGGAAAUGUCGGCUUAUGUAGAUGAACCAAGUAUCAUUCAAUUAACUCUGUACCUUGAUGUGAGAUCAAGAGUCAUUCCAAAAAAAAAUCAACCUAUUUAUGAACCAUAUAUUUUAUUAGAAGAAAUGAAAGACAUACGUGCACGAACCUCACAAAGUGACUUUUCUCAAGUGAAAAUGGCAAUGAUUGAUGAAUAAGCCAAAGAAUAAAUUGCACGUAGCUGAGUGAGCAAUAUUUUCUUCCAUCUUAUCCGUUACAAGUUUAGAAUCUUUUGAUCUCGAUACGUAUGAUGAGUAGAGGUGAUAAAAAUACCCGCCUAGUCCGGACCCGGAUUAUACCCGGGCGUUAUGGGCCGAGUAUUAUUUGGUCCGGGUAUGAAGCCGGGUCGGUCUUGGGCAUCACUUCAUAA